GUGGGGAAUAUUGGGCAAUGGGCGCAAGCCUGACCCAGCAACGCCGCGUGAAGGAAGAAGGCCCUCGGGUUGUAAACUUCUUUUAACAGGGACGAAGAAAGUGACGGUACCUGUUGAAUAAGCCACGGCUAACUACGUGCCAGCAGCCGCGGUAAUACGUAGGUGGCAAGCGUUAUCCGGAUUUACUGGGUGUAAAGGGCGUGUAGGCGGGAGAGCAAGUCAGACGUGAAAUUCCAGGGCUCAACCCUGGAACUGCGUUUGAAACUGUUCUUCUUGAGUGAUGGAGAGGCAGGCGGAAUUCCGUGUGUAGCGGUGAAAUGCGUAGAUAUACGGAGGAACACCAGUGGCGAAGGCGGCCUGCUGGACAUUAACUGACGCUGAGGCGCGAAAGCGUGGGGAGCAAACAGG
rnacentral:rRNA from 1 species